rnacentral:tRNA from 1 species
GCUUUCGUGGUGUAACUGUAGCAUACUCGGCUCGUAUUCGAGAGAUCCAGGGUUCGAGUCUCGACGAGGGCA